CAUCCUCACCGACCAGCACACAGACGUCUGGGAAGUAAAUGAGGACAACAUGAUCAUCAGAGACAUAUCGUCAGAGUUUUUGGAAGACGAGCACACUAUACCGGCGGAGAUACGGGCGGCCGUCACUAAAUUUAUCGGGAAGCGGGGCAUCGAGGAGGUGGACGCGGCGCGGCUGCGGGCGGCGGCGCGGGCG